rnacentral:rRNA from 1 species
CCAAUCGAGGGGGAUAACUACUGGAAACGGUAGCUAAUACCGCAUACGCCCUACGGGGGAAAGCAGGGGACCUUCGGGCCUUGCGCGAUUGGAUGAACCCAGGUGGGAUUAGCUAGUUGGUGAGGUAAUGGCUCACCAAGGCGACGAUCCCUAGCUGGUCUGAGAGGAUGAUCAGCCACACUGGAACUGAGACACGGUCCAGACUCCUACGGGAGGCAGCAGUGGGGAAUAUUGCACAAUGGGGGAAACCCUGAUGCAGCCAUGCCGCGUGUGUGAAGAAGGCUUCGGGUUGUAA